UUCUCAACAAACCUUUCCUCUCUCGCUAACACCUGACUCCCUCACUAAAUACUCACCUCACACUCUCAGCAAAAGGACACCACUCAUAACCACACAAAUCCACUCACAUUUUUUUUCUCUCACAAUCACCUUUCAUUCACUCUUCCACUCUCUCCACCUACCUCACUCAUUAACUUCCCACCAACCACUCUCUCAUGACCUCAGCCAUCAUCUCUCCCAAUCACAAAACUUCACCAUCCCACUAUUCAAAUCCACAAUCCACCGCGUGAAACCUUCCAUCACCACCUCAAACCCACCACCAUAACCUCUAUCUUCCACAACUCACAAACCCAACCUUUCAUCGUCAACAACCACAAAACCCUCCUCCAUCCAAAAAACCAUCGCACAACCUCCUCCGUGCAAAAACCCUCCGUCAACAAUUUUCAUCACCGGCAAAUCCACCUACUUCCGUCGCCGUCACCCUUCAACCCACCUUCAACCUCUUCAAUCUCUACCCUCACACCACCAUAAACUCUCCGUCCGUGCCGGCAACGAUCCGCUUAUCACCGCAAAAACCCAAAGCAACUCCAACCCUCUCCGCCUCGCAAACGCUCAAUCCGCCACCACCCUAACCCAACCACCGCUCGACCGCCCUCAACAACCAUCAUCACCAUUUAGCGUUACCAUUUUUUAGAUGCUAAGCCAAGAUUGGUCACGGCAACAAAGCAAUUUCAGUAUUCUGGUUACACACAAAGAGGAAGAUCGAAAAAAGAGAAAGCGUUUGAGUCGUUCGAGUUGCUGUUAAUCCCUAUCACAUCGUCGGUGUUCAAGAUCCUCAUUAGAAAUCGCAGCGAGCAUCGCCGACUUACCGUACCGUCCGUUGGCAAGCUCAUCCAGCGUAGCAUUACGUUAAGCUGUCAAUCAAUGGUUCACGAUUAUGUUUAUGAUUGCCGCAUCUAUUGUUCAAAUCUGGGUUGUAUUGUGUUGUUGUUAAUGUGGUUGGUUGUGUUGUGAAUGAGUUCUGUAAGAAAGGGAUGAUUUGCUGCUUAGUUCCUUUUUUUAAUUCCAUGGCAUUUUAAAUUCGGUCAAAUUAUGAUGUUAGCAUGAUGUAAUAUUUUUGGUUGCGUUUUAGAUGGAUUUAUAUUGCUUUACUAUGAA